GGAGUCGGCUAAACAGUCGCUUCGCCCCCCUUUUAUUCUGGCGGGGCGGGGAGGAAAGUCCGGGCUCCACUGGGCAAAGGCGCCGGGUAAUUCCCGGGCGGCGCGAGCCGACGGAAAGUGCCACAGAAAAUAUACCGCCGCGCGCCCAUCCGGCUGCCGGCCGCGCUCAUGCGGCGGCGGCAAAAGGAUGGCAAACCCCGCCUGGAGCAAGACCGAAUAGGGACCCGAUGCGCGCCCUCGCUGGGUCCGGGUAGGUUGCAAGAGGCAUUCGGUGACGGAUGUCCCAGAUGAAUGACUGUUCUCGACAGAACCCGGCUUAUCGGCCGGCUCCCGCU
rnacentral:RNase_P_RNA from 1 species